rnacentral:rRNA from 1 species
GAUGAACGCUGGCGGCGUGCCUAAUACAUGCAAGUCGAGCGAACAGACGAGGAGCUUGCUCCUCUGACGUUAGCGGCGGACGGGUGAGUAACACGUGGAUAACCUACCUAUAAGACUGGGAUAACUUCGGGAAACCGGAGCUAAUACCGGAUAAUAUAUUGAACCGCAUGGUUCAAUAGUGAAAGACGGUUUUGCUGUCACUUCUAGAUGGAUCCGCGCCGCAUUAGCUAGUUGGUAAGGUAACGGCUUAUCAAGGCAACGAUGCGUAGCCGACCUGAGAGGGUGAUCGGCCACACUGGAGCUGAGACGCGGUCCAGGGGCCUACGGGACGCAGCAGUAGGGAAUCUUCCGCAAUAGGCGAAAGCCUGACGGAACAACGCCGCGUGAGUGAUAAAGGUCUUCGGAGCGUAAAACUCUGUUAUUAGGGAAGAACAAAUGUGUAAGUAACUAUGCACGUCUUGACGGUACCUGAUCAGAAAGCCACGGCUAACUACGUG